rnacentral:rRNA from 1 species
AAUGAACGUUGGCGGCGUGGAUUAGGCAUGCAAGUCGAGCGCGAACCCCGCAAGGGGUGAAAGCGGCGAAAGGGAGAGUAACGCGUGGGUAUCUGCCCUCGGGACUGGGAUAGCUGCGGGAAACUGCAGGUAAUACCAGAUGACGUCCCCGGACCAAAGGUGUGAUUCCGCCUGAGGAUGAGCCCGCGUCCUAUUAGUUAGUUGGUAGGGUAAGGGCCUACCAAGGCAAUGAUGGGUACUGGGUGUGAGAGCACGACCCAGCUCACUGGGACUGAGACGCUGCCCAGACACCUACGGGUGGCUGCAGUCGAGAAUCUUCGGCAAUGGGCGAAAGCCUGACCGAGCGACGCCGCGUGUGGGAUGAAGGCCUUCGGGUUGUAAACCGCUGUCAGAGGGGAGGAAUGGGCGGAGGGUAAUCUCUUCGUUUUGACCUAUCCUCAGAGGAAGUACGGGCUAAGUUCGUGCCAGCCGCCGCGGUAA